rnacentral:lncRNA from 1 species
AAGUUCUUACAGAAACUAAAUAUCUCUAUUAUUCAACAGCGAGAAAGAUCAAUGAGCAAAGUUUUGUCUUUUACGUUGGACACUGCCUAUGAGAAACGGUAAUCUUUUUGUUUUUGUUAUUUAGGUGAGUAAAAAUUAACGGAUUAACUUUGCUUUCCCUUUUAUUUUUAUUUUUAUUUUUUUCAGUCUAUCUCUUUGUUCCCUAACUGUUUUAAUUACGCUGAGGAUUACCUGCCAAGAAUAUAUAACUCAGUAAAAUAUUAAUAUUUUAAAUGUACAUAAGGGGAUUAUAGAAAUUGAAAUACGAAAAGUGAAGUGUGUCAGAAGAUCCAAACAGCACAAAAACGAGGAAACGUCUCCUUCUGCAGAAAACCUAUAAUAUUCAAUACACAAAAAAUCUAAAUUAUUGAGAAAGAGAGGAAGAAAGAAGAAAGAAGAAAGAAGAUGAUAACGAUAAUGAUAAUGAACCAUGAUGGAAAUAAUGGCCCCACUUAAAUAAAUUCAUUUAAAACCACGUAAGUGCACUUGUAUUUUGUAAAUUUGUAGUGAAUUUAUUAGUAAAGUGCUAAAAUAUAAAAGCCUGCGAAUGUCGUAGUUUUAAAUCAGAUUUUUAUUUAUUUUAAGCACUCUCUGAAUUCAUAUGAAAAUUUCAAAAAUUAUUUACAGCUGUUUUAAUUCGUAAAGUAAGACAAUAAAUUAGUGAAGAUUUUUAAACAGUAUAAAACAGUAUGUAGUUAAACUGAUUUUUUUAUAUUAAUUGUAUAAAUUGUAUUAUACGUAGACAAAUUUAAGCAUCUACUUGAACUUGUUCACUGUCCACAAAACCGUAUGUUAUCUAUGUGAAUUCAGUGGUGUUCAAAAAAAAAAAAUCUAUGUGAAUUCAGUUAUUUUAUUCAUUUAUUUUAAAGCUCAGAAUUUUCAGUUAUUUUGAAACAAAAUUUGAAAUAUUUUUUGAGAAAAUUGGUUUUAGGCCAAAAAAUUGGUAAAUGUGUCCCAUUAGAAUAAUCUCACAUAUUUUAUGUUUCAUUAGGCUAAUUAUUUUUAAAAAGACCAUAAUACCCUCAAAUUCAAUUAUAAAUUCGAAAUUACAAUUAACAAACAAUUGUAAAUAUUAAAAUAUAACAAAUAAUUAGAGUAAUUAAAAUAAAGGAAAACAUUAAAAAUCCUCAAAUAAAAAAAAAACCUAAACCUACACUUUAUGUCCCACGAUUUUUUUAUUUUUUAUUUUUGAAAAAUUAAUUUUUUCAUAUAUGGAAACUGAAUAUAUCCAAAUAUUUUUUUAAUUAUUUUUUGGAACUGAUUAUUCUUAUCCGUAAAAUAAAGUAAAUCUGUAGAACUCAGUUUCUACAGGUUUUUAGAUUUAUAGUAAUUUGUAGAUUUCGAUUUCUACAGGUUUUAGAUUUACAGUAAAUCUAUAGAACUUAUUUUCUACAAGUUUUUAAAUUUAUAGUAAUGUGUAGAUUUUGAUUUCUACAGGUUUUAGAUUUAUACUAAUAUGUAAAUUCCAAUUUCUACAGAUUUUAGAACGAUAGGUUAAGCGCGAAAUAUAUUUUCUAAAUAUUUUUAGAAUAUUAAUUAUUAUUUACAUAGAUCAUGUAUUCUAAAUAUAGUAGAUUCAAUGAAAAAAAGUGGAUUUCAUUUUCUACUUCGUAGAAUGCCAAUUCUACUCUGUGUAUAACAUAAUUUGAAAUUAUGAUUUAAACAUUUUUAGAACUGUAAAAAAUACCACUAAGUUCAUAUGGAUAUUUCAUCAGUAGUUACUCACAUGUGAGUUCUCAUUUACUCUUCCUUGAACGCCAAGCGCACCAAUAACCUAAAUGGAAGAGUUAGUGAGGACUCACAUGUAAGAGAUUAGGGUCAGUGCCUUGUAGGACUGUGAGCCUGGGUCCGCCGUACGGAUUCUCACAAACGCACUACCCAUUACCCAUUGGGGAGGCACUUCAACACAAAGGUCUUUUCAAAAUACCAAAUGUUGCAGAUGUGGCCAACCGGAAACCAUUCUUCACGUAUUCUUCCAUAGCAGUUUCGCUACAGAUAUUUGAAAUCUAGUCCACUGGAGCCAAUCUUUCGAUCCAUCGGCUUGUCUGUCUUUCAAAACGGAUCCCCAAUCGUCUCACUCCAUGGCCAAUCUCCCACUUUACAGCGUCACCUCCAAACUAUUUCUGUGAAUUUAUUGGUUUAUAUGGAUCUCUAGAAACAAGAUCUUAUUCCUAAACAAGACCUCCAUUCCAGCGGAAACAAUCUUGAAAGCGUUAAUCUCCUUAACGGAGUGGGAGCUUGUUCAGCCUAAUAAAGCCACUGUCAUGGUGAUGCGUCCUCGUCCUCCUCCAUCACAGAAUCUCCACUCGCAAACAAUAUUCUGCAACACCGAUGCGGCAUGGCAUUCAGAGCAACAUGCUUAGGUUGGAUCUUUACAGAUCAAUCUUCACACGAACUGAACCCGGGCUCUCAAUCUCAGAAUCAUGUCUCCUCAUCUUGCAUAGCAGAGGCUCUCGCCAUCAGAGCUGCCCUUCACCACGCUAUCCACCUCCGCUUACUCAUAUUUGUCUCUGCUUAGAUUCCCAAGUGCUCGUCAGAGCUUUAUCAUCGGCUUAUCGAUCGUCAGAACUACACGAGUGAUGUCGGACGUUUUCUCUGUCUGUUUCUUCCUUAUUUUUUUAUUAUAAUGUAUCUUUUGUUUUUCGUGAGUCCAACAUGCCUGCUGAUUGUUUAGCAAAAGCAUGUUUAUUCUUAAAUUAUGUUGGGUUCAACUUAAGACUCUUUUAAAUUAUUAAAGAAAUAUUUAUACGUUGCUCAAAAAAAGAAUCUCAGAAUUGCAGUAAUCACAUAAUUACCAUC